rnacentral:rRNA from 1 species
UACGAAGGGGGCGAGCGUUGUUCGGAAUUACUGGGCGUAAAGGGCUCGUAGGCGGCCAACUAAGUCCGACGUGAAAUCCCCAGGCUUAACCUGGGAACUGCGUCGGAUACUGGAUGGCUUGAAUCCGGGAGAGGGAUGCGGAAUUCCAGGUGUAGCGGUGAAAUGCGUAGAUAUCUGGAGGAACACCGGUGGCGAAGGCGGCAUCCUGGACCGGCAUUGACGCUGAGGAGCGAAAGCCAGGGGAGCAAACGGG